GGUUUGGCUGCCGUCCUCCUGGUGUUGAACCGAGGGGGCGGGGGCCCCGGCAUCCUGCGCCGCGGCCCAGCCCUGAAGGAGCGCGAGGCCGAGGCGGGCGGGCGGCUUUUUUCCAUCGCCCCAGGCCGCGGCAGCGCAGCUUGACGAACGCGCACAGUUCCAAGAAGGUGACAGCGGCGCCUGCCCUUCAGCUCGCAGUCGGAGCUCCAACUGCGCUCGCGGCGUUGACUGGACUCGGCCCGCCGCUCCCUGCGCCUCAGGGAGCCCGUGCGCCGCGCGCGCAAAACGUGCGGAGGAGCCGUGUGCGGAGCGUGACCCCUCCCACGGGGGCGAGGCCCCGAGGCCAGCGAGCGGAGGGCGGAACAGGGCCUUUCGGGACCCGGGCGCCUACAGGAAGAAAGUCAGAAAGAAGUUUCACUUCCAAGUACUAGGAAGACAUGUUCCUGUUUCCUUCAUGUAUCAGGCAUUUGGAGCACGGAUGAAUGAGGCACACCGAGAAAGAAGCAGACACGUUUUACUACUGCAUCUGUCCAGGCUUACUUCUAGAUGGCAAGGUCCUGAGUAGAGAGAUGCAUCUUCUCAGUCUGCAGAAAUUCCUGGAAGAAUGAACACUCAGAAGGAGGUUUAUACUGAUCAUACUACUUGAUGAGUUUUCUUACUCAACUAAAGGCUCCCAUGAAAGCACAUGAAGAUACCUUCACGUCUUCAGUAGUAAUUUUAAACUCUGAACAUUUGAGAGGAAAAACAAAAUGCCAUCAGCAAUUGAGCUCUGAAUACUUCACAGCUGCGCGCUUCUCAACCCAGAUGACAGAGAUAACGAAGACCGUCCUCAUGAUUCAGGUUUGAAAAUGGAUCAUUAGAUCUGAAGCACUCGUGUUGCUCCUGUGCAUUGACAAGCCUGAGGAUGGAAACCCCCCACCUUGGAGAUGGCAGAGCAGAGAUUAAAAGUGCGUACCUCUGGCCAAACUUACCUGGAAGCUAGAGGAUAAAGGAUGCAUGUAUACAACCUUUAUAGCUCAGCCUCCUGGGACAUAGGAAGGUAGAGUACAGAGAAGAAUAGAAGCAAAUGGAAGAAAUACAGCUCAACUGAACUGUGUCACUCCAGCAUUUAUAUGUUGAAAUCCUAACCCCCAGUGAGACUAUAUUUAGAGAGAGGGCAUUUAAGGAGAUGCUGGACCUUAGCUACAUGAGGGCAUAGUGUGGGACCCUAAUCCAAUAGGACUGCUGUCCUGAUAGAAUGAGGAAGAGACAUCAGGGAUCUCUCUCUUCACACAGAGAAGAGGCCACGUGAGGACAUGGAGAGAAAGCGGCUGUCAUCAUGCCCAGAAGAGGGCUCUCACCAGAAAACAACCCUGCAGGCACCUUGAUCUUGGACUUCCAGCCUCCAGAACCAUAAGAAAAUACAUUUCUGUUCUUUAAGUC